rnacentral:rRNA from 1 species
GAAAUGCGAUAAGUAAUGUGAAUUGCAGAAUUCAGUGAAUCAUCGAAUCUUUGAACGCACAUUGCGCCCGCCAGUAUUCUGGCGGGCAUGCCUGUCCGAGCGUCAUUUCAACCCCUCAAGCCCUGCUUGGUGUUGGGGCCCCUACGUGCGCCGUAGGCCCCGAAUUCCAGUGGCGGGCUCGCCGCGAACCCGAGCGUAGUAGCUUUUGCCUCGCUCAGGGCCCGCGGCGGGCGCCUGCCGUGAAAGAACCCACUAAGACACAAAGGUUGACCUCGGAUCAGGUAGGAAUACCCGCUGAACUUAA